rnacentral:rRNA from 1 species
GAUGAACGCUAGCUACAGGCUUAACACAUGCAAGUCGAGGGGUAACAAGAGAAAAGCUUGCUUUUCUUGUUGACGACCGGCGCACGGGUGAGUAACGCGUAUCCAACCUGCCUAUAACUAGGGAAUAACCUUGCGAAAGUAAGACUAGUGCCCUAUGACUUCCUUUGAUGACAUCAGAUUAGGAAUAAAGAUUUAUCGGUUAUAGAUGGGGAUGCGUCUGAUUAGCUUGUUGGCGGGGUAACGGCCCACCAAGGCAACGAUCAGUAGGGGUUCUAGGAGGAAGGUCCCCCACAUUGGAACUGAGACACGGUCCAAACUCCUACGGGAGGCAGCAGUGAGGAAUAUUGGUCAAUGGGCGGAAGCCUGAACCAGCCAAGUAGCGUGCAGGAUGACGGCCCUAUGGGUUGUAAACUGCUUUUAUACAGGGAUAAAGUUAGCCACGUGUGGUUAUUUGCAGGUACUGUAUGAAUAAGGACCGGCUAAUUCCGUGCCAGCAGCCGCCGUAA